CAAUCGGCCCUUUUGAGGGCCAUCAAACGUUCUUUAAUAGAGUUCAU
rfam:Aedes aegypti strain Liverpool supercont1.87 genomic scaffold, whole genome shotgun sequence.